GAGGGGGAAGAAGUAUACACUUAUUUAUUUCUACCUCUCUCUCAACUACUCAUCCAUAAACUCAUAUUUACAAUUUAUAAACAAAUAUCCAAAUACUAUGUAUAACCCCAAUACAAUUUAACUCAACUCUCUAUUCAAUAAUCGUUUAAUUGGCAAAUUAUUUCAGCACUAAUCACAGUUUUAUUAUCAUUCAAAGAAAGACUUGACAACACUGAAUCCAAUCAUGAGAGAUCUAAUGAUCGAUUAUCGGUUCUAUUAACAAUUAGUUAUUUUCCUGUUUCUCUUGUAGUCUAUUGAUGACGUGUUAUUACAGUAUUUAACACCACAGUCGCGUCCCAUCAUCACCAAAUCUGUCAUCCCUUAUCUAGGCUUCCUAACAUCAAGGUGGACUAAUCUGUCCUUCCCAAAGGCAGCAUGAGGAGGAUGAAGAAGAAGAAGAGGAGGAGUAGGAGGAUGAGGAGGAGAAGGAGGAGGAGGAGGAGGGAGUAGGCUUCAAGCGCAGUGAUGAAGUAGAUAAAUAAGGAAAGCAGAGGAUGUUCCGCAUUUCACAUCUCAACCGUCCCGACAUGUGUUUGUGUGUGUACAGUUUGUGCUUUACAGUGGUGGUCCUGUAGAGAGCGGUAGAUAGUUUUAAUAAGUGGUCACACAGCAGCACUGCCCUUACUGUACUGUACAUAAGCAGAGGGAGGAGCGACCGUGUAGUAUUUCUUUUUGGUUCUUUCCCCCUCUGUCUUUGCAGCCCAUCCAAACGCUAUUGGAAAGCAGCAAGAGAGGAAAAAAAGGGGGGAAACAACAAACUACUCAUUUUCACGCAAUAGCUUUUGCAGGAAGAAGGAGGGAGAUAAUUUUUGACGGUACGAGGCGCAGCACCUUUUGGCGGAGGGACCGGGCUCGGAGAGAGAGAGAGAGAGAGAGAAGAGAAGAGAGAGAGGGGGGGACGUGUAGCCAUCCAGCGCCGCCGCUACACUUGUGCAGAAACCGGAGGAGCCCCGCUGACCUUCUCCCGCUUCAUUUCCGCCUAAUGCCCGCAUAUCCAAGCCGUACUGGUGUCCUGACCGCGUGGGGGUAACCGACGAGUUCACUGAGACCUGUGUUGGGAUGAAAGCCUGGAUCAAAUGUAAAGAAACAACACUGACGUGAAGACAACCGAGGGCGGACACAAGGCGGACCACACAACGCAGGAGGCCUGGGGAAAUCAUUAACGGCACACAAACACACACACAAAAUGACUGAGUGGAUCACUCCUCACUCUCCGCAUCCCUGAGAGACCCACAUCCACCUCCAGCCGCGGCCCCGGGGCCAUCCGAUUUACCCCCCUGCAGAAUCUCCGACAUAUUCCGUAUCUUGCAGCUUCACGCCGAGCCACACAACACCGACCUCACGAGGGGGUCCGCUCCCUCUGGCGAACCACCCUCCCCCACAC